UACGGAGGGUGCAAGCGUUAUUCGGAAUUACUGGGCGUAAAGCGCGUGUAGGCGGGGAUACAAGUCUGAUGUGAAAGCCCUGGGCUUAACCUGGGAAGUGCAUUGGAAACUGUAUUUCUUGAGUACUGGAGAGGAAGGGGGAAGUCCCGGUGUAGAGGUGAAAUUCGUAGAGAUCGGGAGGAAUACCAGUGGCGAAGGCGCCCUUCUGGACGGUUACUGACGCUGAGACGCGAAAGCGUGGGGAGCAAACAGG
rnacentral:rRNA from 1 species